ACAUGUGGAGUUCUCUAAACUGGUUCAGACAGCUGGACCCCAUUUUGUGUUUGUUUUUUCAAACAGAUUCUUCGUGCUCUAAACCAAAUCCAGCUCCACUCCAGUCACUUUCCAGGCAAGACAGGGCUACCUUCAGCAUCUCUAGUGAAAGUGGUGAAUUAGCACUUCAGAAGUGAGAUGGCAUGGACAGAAGCUUCUGGGGCUGAGCUCACCAUUGGAAGCUUCUUUCCAGCUUCCUGAAGGUCUCUGGAGGUCUCUUCUUACCGGGGAGGAUGAUCCCUGGUGGCUCCCUGCUGACAUUCUUCAAAACUAGGCUAUUUCCCCAGUGUCCUGCCAAUAAAACAGAAGAGGAAAUGAUGAAAUGUUUGCAGUGGCCUGUAGUGAAGUGGCUCUUUCUGCCCUUGCUGUGCGUCUCACUCCAGGACCUCCUGAAGAGCGCUGAUCCUGCACUAUACAUGUGGUUCUUCUCCUGUGCCUCCCCACUUGUCAGAGAAUUUCUUGAGGACAUGGAUGACUGUCUGGCAGCGACAGUUCCAGAGUCCAGGGACAUCCCUGUGUGGUUUCUGAGAAGGAUGAGGAGUUCAAGAAGUGAAGGCUCUGUCAUACGUAAAGAGAAAACAAUUUCACUGUGCAAUCCAGGAAAGACAAAGCAGUGUAGCAUGUGGCUUCAGGAUUCUGGCCAGCAGAGGGGAUGCCAGUGUCUCUACAUCGUGACAACUUUGAAUGUGACCAUUGUAUCACCUACUAAGUUUUUAAAAAAUGGAGGUCACUUUUUCUUGGCUUAAACAAAUGAAAAUAAAUAUAAACAAUAAUAGACUUCUGAAGAAGGAUGGCAGAGCAACAGCAAGAACACCAAGAAAUGGGAGCAACCUAAUGUCAUAGACUUCAAAAAGGGGAGGACAAAGGAAGGAAGGAGAGAUUUUAGAAAAGUAGUUUCUCUGUGCUCACUUUGGAAGCCUUGGAUUACCAAAAUAUUGAAAAACUGAAUCAAAAGCUAUUAAUCUGAAAAGAAACAAAUUAGCAGGGCAUAUUGUUUUCCUUUCCAUCUCUUUGCCAGGCAACCUAAGAACUUCAGGGGACUGUGAACCCAGCUCCAGGGCCAGGGUGGAAUGAUUGGGCUAAGGAUAAUUCCUUAUCCCAGGGAACUCAGGUCAAAACCAACCAGGGUGUGGCAUAUUCCUGCAGUAGAUGCAAGUGAAGACUUCUUACCCAUAGACAGCGACUGGAAGCUGGAUCAGGCCAACCCUGAAGAUCACUCUGUCUCUGGAUGUCGGUCACACAAAUCAAUACAUUUCCAUGUGUUAAAGCAAUUCGACUUGGAUUUUACAUAUAUUUUUGAAACUGAAAACAUUGUAAUCUAUAUAUCUACUUAGAAAGAUGUGAAAUAUUCACCUAAGAAUAAUCAUUUGGGGUUACCACUAAAAAUUAUUUUUACUUUUCUUCAUUGCUUACUUUAUAAUGAGCUGUUUCAUUUUUUAAAACACAAAAAGUUAUUAUUCUUGCAUAUUAAAUUGUUAAACAUAAAAGUAAUAUGUACUCAUUGGAAAAAAAUCCAGAUACCUUCUCUUCCAGGUGCCCUAAAUAGAAUUAGGGAGAGAGAAAAACAAUGAUCUCUGAUCAAAAAAUGUAAUAAAAAGGAUUUUAGAAACAGUCAACAUAUUUUUGCAUUCUGCAAUUGUCUAAAAUUACUUUGAAAAGAGACAGUUUUUGAUAGCAUAGAUAAAGAUAAAAGAUUUAUAACAUAAACAUGAUAGAGAAAAUUAAUAU
rnacentral:lncRNA from 1 species